UGCAAAGGUUGAUAAAGCUUCCUUUGGAGAUGGGGAAGGCCUGGAGAACACACGCGUUUGUUCGCCUUCCUAUGGCACAGUAAUCACUUUCUCAGGCUCAGCUGUUUUCUUAAAAUUGACCAUGUAACGUGAAGAGUGAGUUUUGGAAGACAGAGAGACAGACAGACAGACAGACACAGAGAGACAGAGACAGAGGAAAAGGGAGAGAAACGGAGAGAGAUCUUACUUCAGGAGCAGUGCCAGAAAUGACCAACUGUAUGCUCAAUUAUCCACCUCUCCACAGCAGCACAUUAUUUUAAUAUAAACUUUUCACUGCAGUCAGCAA
rnacentral:lncRNA from 1 species